rnacentral:ncRNA from 6 species
UUUCCGUAGGUGAACCUGCGGAAG